rnacentral:rRNA from 1 species
GACGAACGCUGGCGGCGUGCCUAAUACAUGCAAGUUGAGCGCUGAAGGUUGGUACUUGUACCAACUGGAUGAGCAGAGAACGGGUGAGUAACGCGUGGGGAAUCUGCCUUUGAGCGGGGGACAACAUUUGGAAACGAAUGCUAAUACCGCAUAAAAACUUUAAACACAAGUUUUAAGUUUGAAAGAUGCAAUUGCAUCACUCAAAGAUGAUCCCGCGUUGUAUUAGCUAGUUGGUGAGGUAAAGGCGCACCAAGGCGAUGAUACAUAGCCGACCUGAGAGGGUGAGCGGCCACAUUGGGACUGAGACACGGCCCAAACGCCUUCGGGAGGCAGCAGUAGUGAAUCUUCGGCAAUGGACGAAAGUCUGACCGAGCAACGCCGCGGGAGUGAAGAAGGUUUUCGGAUCGUAAAACUCGGUUGGUAGAGAAGAACGUUGGUGAGAGUGGAAAGCUCAUCAAGUGACGGUAACUACCCAGAAAGGGACGGCUAACUACGUG